GCUCUGCAACACAAGAUCAAUUGAUGGCACAUUUGCUCCAAGGCGAGUGCCAAGGAUUUUGGUAGAGUUAAAACAAGCCCCGAAAGGUGCCACAGAUGCCACUCUUGGGACAUCACCCAUCUCCUUCGCAAAAGCAUUAACAACAGCAUUGUAGAUUGUUGUCUCCAUGACAGUGUAAGGAUUAACGGUGCUAAUCUUUGUUCCACCGAAGCCUUCCCUGUUAAUGGAUAGCAAUGUUUUAUUCAAUGGAACAGCUUUUCCAUUGAUUUUGAUAGAUUUCACUCCAAUGAAAUAAUCAGAGGAAGGGUCACCUUGAACGAAAGCAGCUGCUGUGCUUACUGGGUUGAGGAUCAGUGGUGUAUAAGUGAGGGACUCGGAGGCAUCGAAAUUUGGACGCAAGACAUAAGGCCCAUCACCGAAGAACACCACACCUUUAGCAGUUGUUGAGGAGCUCAAGCAAAUGGCGAACUUCCGGUCAAAACUAAAGGCAGCAGAAAAUUGAG
rnacentral:misc_RNA from 1 species